rnacentral:lncRNA from 1 species
UCCGCCUCUGGAAGGAAGAUUGUACAACAAUUCACAUGUACCAUUUUUAAUCUGUAACCAGAAAAAUGAAGGCGAUUUUUUUUUUCUUUCAAACAAGUGAAGGACCAGCUGAUUGCUCCGACAAUGUACUAGUGAUAGUUGGGCAAAGUUGGGAGCAGCAGAACGUCACACUUCGCCUUGUAAGCCCAUUUUCUAAUGGGCCCUAAUUCUCCCAUCAGAAGAAUUUUUGUUGCAGCUUUGGUCUGAGUUUAAUUCAAAGUACAAAAUGUGCAGAUAUGUUACACAUGUGCAACCCUAGUUUAUUUCCUAUAUGUGCAGAUAUGUUACACAACUACAGCACUUUCUUGUAUAUUAUGAAAUUCAUUAUGUUGUUCUCAUGAUUAAUACUGAAAUAUCCUUGCAAAAGAUCAACACGAUUGUGCAAUACCCCUUUUCCCGGCACCAUUCUGACAUCUCAUUCGACCCAGGAUUACAGCUGAAAUUUCCUUUUGAUUUGCCACUGGAAAAGCUGUCAACCAUUUCUUCAACAUCUGAUUUGCAUAUACAUGUACAACAAUAACAACGACCCAGUAUAAUCUCACUUAGUAGGGUCUGGGGAGGGUAGUGUGUACGCAGAUCUUACCCCUACCCUGAGGUAAAGAGGCUGUUUCCAAAUAGACCCCCGGCUGUUUCCCACCUUAUUCUUGGAGAAACUCGAACUCACAAUCACGAUUGAAAAUGAAGGUUGCUUACCAUCAGAGCAACCCUCUUGUCCUGUAGUCGCCAAGUAAUCACCAUGGGCUGUUAAGAGUCGCACAUUAAUAGUGGAUGUGAUAUUUGGUCUCUUUAUAUAAUCUUAGGUGAUGCUCACUUCAUGAGCUAGUUUUGGGUUGAUUUAAGUUUAAGCUCAUACGAGCCUUCACAAUUUCUAAAAUAUUCUGA